UUUUGUAUUUUUUUCAGCUUUUAUGUCAUUUCUAUUUGUAUUUUUGGAUUUUGUAUCUUGAUUUUGGUGUUGUACUAUUGGGGUGUUUUGUCCCCCAUGAACAAAUUUAUAUUUUCAGUUAAUGUUAAUUAUUUAUGUUUUUAAUUUUGUGUGUUUAAUAAAUUUUUGGUUGAUUGAGUGGCAAACCCUUCUAGAUUGGUUGCUCCUCAAGAAGUACCCAAUGAAGGUGCAUCCGAGCUUGGAUGGCAAUGAUAAGAAUAAACAAGUGAAUGAAG
rnacentral:lncRNA from 1 species